GAGCUGCAGGGGGCGCUGCUCAGUUUUCUUCUUUGUUUCAUCUCUGUCUUUUUUCCUCAUUUAUUUUGGUCUGGAGUUUCUGGUGGAGGUUACUUUAUCAUUCUGUGUGUGUGUGUGUUUAAAUCACAAUUUUGCUCGUUAUAGACCCAGGCUCUCCACCAUCUCCUCCACCCUUUAUUGAUUUGAACUCUCUCUCUCUCCCUCUACUCUCUUAUGCCCCCUCUUCCCAUCUCUCCCUGUUUUUCUUUCUCCAUCACUACAUUCAUUUUUAAGGUCCCCCUGCACCCCCCUCCCUCUUCUGAUUAGACGGUGAGGAGCUGUGUUACCUCUGACAUCUCAAUCAGACAGGAGCAGCAGAGUUUGUUUGCAGAGGAAAACUUCUGACAAGAUAUACCACACACACAAAAACCUGAAACACAAAAACAAGCCAAGAGUCAAAGGUCUUACGGGGUACUUGGUAUGCUAACCUGGGGUCAAAUGUCAUUCCCAGCCUUGAAGAUCACCAAAGUAAGAUGGCAGAGGUGAACUAGAGGUGAGACCAGUUAGCACAGAAGGUAAGUGAAACUCAAUGAGGACAUGAAUAGUGAGUGCAGUACAGUGAAAAAUGAUCUGCUGCUUCAUUUACUUCAAAUACUUAGAUAGAAAAUACUUGCAGGACAACAGUACUGUAGAAUUUCAAACGUUUCUGUAGAAAUUCAAAGGUUUCAAACUCACUGAGUCACCAGUCAUCUGUUGAUGUUCUUUUCUUCUCUGUACAUUUUGACUUUUCCAAUUGUCUCCUCUUUUUUGCUGGUACUGUAAAUCCUCCCCAUCCUCCUGAAGGCCCAGAUCAUCAUCAUCAUCACCAGCCUGUCCACUGGUGUGAGUGUGUUCCUCCCCAGGACAGCUGAGCUGGCAGCCCCAUCAUUACCUCCCUGUUCACUCGUGUGGCGAACACGGACUCUCACCCUCUGUGCUUCAUCAAUGUCACUCACUAAAGGGAAGAACAAAUGCAUAUUCAAUUACCAGCAGGGCUUUAGUGGCAUUAGAAUGUAAAUUACCCAAUUAAGCCAUAGGAGGGCAGUGUUUGAUCAAAUUAGGAGCCGCCCGUUUUGUAAUAAAAUGGCCAUAUUUUUCGGAAAUAACAAAGAAAACGGUGUUGUUAGAGUCGACUGUGCUGAGAAAGCAGGAUAAAAAAUGCACUCAUUUAAAUAUGUGCCUGCAUUUGAUGGCAUUCAUUUAGGAAUUAUUUUUAAAUUGGCUUCAGCAGACAUGAAACAAUUAUUCAGAAUUGUGAUCAGAGCCUUUGGUUGGUUUAUAAUAGAAUAUACUGCACUGUCCCUGUGGGAAAAGCUGCCUUGGACCCGAGAGCCAAGAAAAGUAUGUUAAUAAAUAAGUAUACAUAGAAUCUGUAAACCUGUUAGAAUGUGUGACGAAAAAGUAAAAAAAAAAAAAAAGUUAACUUAUGUAGGAAAAACAAAGACAACCGCGGGGGUUGAAAAUUAAUUUCGAAACCGUUUUAUUAAAAAAAGUACUUUAUAAAGUGAAUGUCAACACAGAGUUGUUUUUCUAGGGGCGUUUGAACGUGUUCUUCCAGAACAAUCUGAUUUCCAGGUACUGACAGAGAGUAACUUUAGUAAUCUGUAGGAUACAGUAGCUGAUUACACCUGCCUAAAGCCUUUGUUAUUACAGUACCUUUAACACAAAUGACUGAAUACGCCACAGUCCCACUGAUUGUAUUUUGAAAUAAUAUUAAACAUAGAAUAAUUAAAUAUAGCAAACGUGGACGAUGAUUCCAGAAAUGAAAUUUAAUUCUUACACACAGUGGUCAGUAAAGUACUUUUAAACUUGGCCGUGACACGAAUCUCUUGGGUUUUUUUUAAACAUAGCUGCAAAAAGCCUGCUUUUCCAAUUUAAGAGGUAGAAUAAAACCGGCCCCCAGGGUAGCUGCUAGCCGCGGCGGCGCUGGCACGUCGUUAGCACGCACGCACGCUUGAGUGACGUCAUCCAAUCGGCAGGCGUGUUCUCACCUGGUCAGUAUGAUACCGGAAGUUUGAGAAGCAACACAGAGAAGCAAACUAGGAAUGAAAAUAAAGAAUUCCCUCUUCCCUCCGAUCCUCUCGUUAUUCAAAUAACUGUUUCCAGAUAACGUUAGUAAAAUGGUGAGAACUCAUGAAAGAAACAAAACAAGAAAAAAACCCCAACAGGUUAAGAAACGAGACCAACAGCUACACGUGGCUAACAUCGCAUUAGCAUUAACAUCGCACAACAUCCUACUGGAUUUAAAAACCUUUCAGGAGCUGAUGUUUUUGUCGCUGUAGUUUCCUGAUAGCCAAGGUCAUAUCAACCCAAAUGUUCAGAGGCUGUCACGUCCACCUGUGUCAGCCAAACCCUCCACACUGGAACAGCUGCCACCUUCAGUCUACGUCCGUCUCUCUACGAUCCGACCUCCCUGUGGUCACUUCACCUUGUUUUUCCUUCUACUUUUAACCAUGAAGGAUCUUGUUGUUCUGACUCUGGCCUGAAUGACUUGGUUGUAAUCCUGACUUCAUUUCUGUUUCUCCACCUCUUCUUUCUCACUCCCACAACUUUCACAGGAAGGUGGAGUUGAAGUUGUCUUUGGGGAAAGGUGCUGGACUUGGUCUGUGCAGCACAGAGACUUUCAGCUUUUACUGCAGGUAUGUGUUGAUGUAAAAACAGCCGAGGGCCAACCACCACUGAUGCAUCUGAACAAAUGUAACAGCAGUAAGAAAAUAUUGAUGAAAUAUUGGGGAAAAAAACUCAAUAUAUUGUUGUGUGUAUAGUACUGCAAUAUAUCACAAUAAAUCAUAUUGUUGCUCCGGUGACUUUCAGUCAUAAUCUGUCACUGUCUAACAAAUAAAAAUGAUCCCAAACAUAGAGUCAAAGAAAAACAAACCCUGUGACGUUUUCGCGGCCUUGAUCGUCGCUUACGCUGCAGAGGUGAAGGCGCGUGUGUCGGCUCGUGCAGUAAAAUCAUGCAUAUAAAGAGUGAGUCGACCUUGGCAGUAAUGAAGCAGCAGGUUGAGUCAUGUAGAGAUGGAGGACAUGGCCCUGAGUGUCAGCUCUGUUAUUUUAGUGUUGAUUAAAGCAGCAGCCGAGGAUCAAGACGUGGAGACGCUCAGAGCUGCGGACGCUUCAGAGGGAGGAGUUCACUGUCGAUGAAUGUGUGACAGACCCAGCUGACACCUGGCUUUGAUUAGAGCUCAGCCGCUCAAGACAAUGACAGCUGGAUCAUGGAGAGUGAAGUGCUUGAGUUCAGAACCCUUCCAUCUGAAACGAACAGUAGAAAGAAAUGUUAGUGAAUGACUUUGGAUCAAGGUUUAACACCAACGCUCCAAAUGGACUUUCUGAAAGAAAUGUCCAACCACGGACACAGAGUUCCGUCCGUCCGCUCACUCUCGUCACUUUUAUGGAAUCCAGGAAUUAAUCAGUUGUAGUCUCUCCACAGUUAGGACACCAGAUGUAAGAGGUUGUGUGGCCCAUAACUGGGCCUGACCAGUGUGUUGUCCACUGUAACAGUAGGAACAGCGUCCUCAUCUGGGAACCCUCAUGGUACUGAAAGGGCUUCAGACGUUUUGGUUGGUUUUACUUUAUUCAUUUUUUUUAUAUUUAUAUAUUUAAAAUAUUUUUGUGCUAAAACACAGGAGUCCACCCUCAGCCCCAAACUCCAUCUCUCCAUUAGUUUGGGAGUCUUGACCCCAACCCACAGCAGGGGUUUUUCCAGCCCACUCAGUGUUGUCUUCCAAGCAGCUUUAAUUGGAGUUUUGACUGAACAAACACAUUUUCACUUGGUCAGGUCUGUGCUCUGUGCUCUGUGUUUCCUGCUUGUGUGUUGGUGUAGGAGUGCACGGCCCCACCCUGCAGCACAAUGACCUGCAUUGAACACGCGUGUGUGUCAGUGUGUGUGACACGGGUCGACAAGGAGCCGUUGAUGGCACCUGAUAGGUCAGAUCUAUCUUUAUCAUCGUUACUCAGCAGGUUGUGUGGAGCAGCCCGACCACACACUCCCCCACCUCCGCCUCAGCUGAACACAAACACAAACACAAACACACACCCUCCACACCAACAGUCCAGGGACUAAAAAUAGCUCCUGCUGACACAGGCUGGUCUAUAAUAAGCCAUGACAUAAUCACUGGUUUCAGAACAGGCAGCGUCUUGUUCCUCAUUGACUUCUGUUUCAUGUCACGGCUGUUUGGGAAACGGACUUUAAAGGAACAGGUCGACCUUUGGGAAACAACAUAAGGUCCAGUCUAUCUAUGGCAAAGACUAAUGUGGUUCACAUUUGGGUUUUUUUAUUAUCCUGGAUGUGGGCCAUAGGUCAGCCAGACCCUUGUGGCCCAGAUUUGUGAGGACCAGAUGUCAGUAGAUGCCAGUGUGGACCACUGAAGUCCCUUUGUGUGAAGCAGGGAAAUGAAUUUGGUCCAGAAGUAAAGUUUGCUCAGAAAGAUCCUGUGUGUUAUAUCAAAGAUGUUUGGUGAAUAAUGACUGUAGAUGAAACCACAUCGUUUGGCUUGUUGGACAAAAAGAUUUAAAAAUCCUGCUCUGCUCUGUCAAAGUCCGGGGCUUCACUAAGGAAUUCUGCAGAACCAAAAUACGGUCAAUGUUUAUUGAGCAUUAAAGAAAACUGAAUAUGAAAGGAGAGGAGCAGGAGGACGAGGAGGCCCCGCCCCUCCCUGGUCACAGCUGUUAUUUUUGGGAGCAGUGAACUGAGGAGCUGAGUAAUGUGUGUGUGUGUGUGUGUGUGUGUGUUCACGGCUGACCUUCACCAACUGCCACCUGAGCAGAAACACCUGUGUCUCUGAGGUGGGCUGUGGUGGAGUCCACCUCAGAGACACAGCGCUGCCUUUCUCUGCUUCACACAUGUCGUCCAGAUGAAACACACACCUCAGGGAGGAGGCGGUGUCGGCACGGAGUCCUGACGCUGAGCAGGUCCUCGGAAUGACCAGUCCUGCAUUUACUGUUGUCAAAACAACAGGUUUAAGUUGAAUGAAAAACCUCAUGAGGGUGGAAUCAAACCUUGAACCUUCUAGAUGACAGGGAGUAGUCUGACCACUGCAUCACUGUAGCCCCUAAGGGCGACAACUGCUCUCAACUUUAGCUGCCGAUGAUGGUUCCCAGGAAGCAGAAGUGCUCCACAGUAUCCAGAGGAGAAUCAUCCAGGGUGAUGGGGCUGGGCUCGUCCUGAAGUCCACUAUCAUCUCCACUGUUUUUGGGGCAUCGAGCUCGUCUACACCAGGUGGUCCAUCUCCCAUCUGCACGAUGACUCAUCCCCUUCAGAGAUGAGUCUAAUGAGGGUGGUAUCAUCCGCAAACUUUAGGAGCUUGACGUUCUGAUGGCUCGAGGUACAGCCCUGCAGAGAGCCGGUGCUGAUGGUCCGGGAGUCUGAGACUUGUUUUUUUAAAGGCAUAUAUUAAUCUUCCUGAUAUCAGGAAAUGAUGAUGUCAUUCCGCACCGCAGUGUGGGUUCCACUCCAAGACAAGAGACCUGAAGGACCUUCACGUGAGUGCUGCGUUCAAGGAGCAUCGGUAUAAUUGGGAAAACUUUGACAUGACUUGAUACCAACAUCGUAUCCACAGAAUUUUAGCCAAUACACAGUAUGUUACACAUAAUCCAUGGAAAUAUGAACAUGAAGAAGUUGGGAACAGCACUAACUUAUGUCAGUUGUCCAUAAUUUUAUUUUUAUUUCAUGUAUGUAUUUUAUUUUUUGUAUUGGUGAGGAAUAAACUUUACCAGAUUGUUUUUUUACAUAGAAAUGUUUGAAAGUAACGUAUCAUUAUUAUAUUUUUAUAUUAUAUUAUUAUAGUGCAUUAUUUAUAUAUUUUUGUAACUUGGAAUGCACUUUUUCACUAUGUAUUUGUUUUUAAAUGUUCUUAAUAUACUGGAACCCCGAGAUACGAGCUUCCCGAAACACGACUAUUAUAUGUUACAAGUCUGCAACUAUUGCAAGAUUUUUCUCCUGAUACAAGGAAAUAUCUAGUUACCAGUGGCUCAACCUAGGGCUGCCGUCCAUUCAGUCGUACGACAUGGGGAAGCCGCGAGCUCUGAUGCCAAAGCAGCUGCUGAGUUGGUCACCAACUUUUAGUGUUUAUUAAAAAAGAAAUCCUUCUCCUACCUUAGUGGCCCCGACACAAAUAUAUUUGUUUAUAUCUACGUUUUAUAUAAUUAAUUAAUUAAUAGUAUGUUUCUGUGGGGCUGGAACUAUUUAAUUCUUUUUUAUUUAUUUUUUAAUGGGGAAAAUUCGAUCGAGAUACAAAUGCUGCUGUGGAACGGAUUAGACUCAUAUCUUGGGUGUCCACUGUAUUUAUUAAUUAUUUUAUUAUUUUUUAAUUUUGUAUUAAAUUCUGAUGCAAAGUAUUUCAGUGCUAGAGGCAGUUAUUAAUAUAUCAAUAAGUAAUUCACCUCACAUUAAUAGAUAUUAAUUUGAAAUAUCAAAUAAUUUGACAUAUAAUUGCUAAAACAUUUUUGUUUAACAAAAA